rnacentral:rRNA from 1 species
GAUGAACGCUGGCGGCGUGCCUAAUACAUGCAAGUCGAGCGAAUGGAUUAAGAGCUUGCUCUUAUGAAGUUAGCGGCGGACGGGUGAGUAACACGUGGGUAACCUGCCCAUAAGACUGGGAUAACUCCGGGAAACCGGGGCUAAUACCGGAUAACAUUUUGAACCGCAUGGUUCGAAAUUGAAAGGCGGCUUCGGCUGUCACUUAUGGAUGGACCCGCGUCGCAUUAGCUAGUUGGUGAGGUAACGGCUCACCAAGGCAACGAUGCGUAGCCGACCUGAGAGGGUGAUCGGCCACACUGGGACGGGGACACGGCCCAGACUCCUACGGGAGGCAGCAGUAGGGAAUCUUCCGCAAUGGACGAAAGUCUGACGGAGCAACGCCGCGUGAGUGAUGAAGGCUUUCGGGUCGUAAAACUCUGUUGUUAGGGAAGAACAAGUGCUAGUUGAAUAAGCUGACACCUUGACGGUACCUAACCAGAAAGCCACGGCUAACUACGUGCCAGCAGCCGCCGCUG